AACGAACGCUGGCGGCAGGCCUAACACAUGCAAGUCGAGCGAGGACUUCGGUUCUAGCGGCGGACGGGUGAGUAACGCGUGGGAAUGUGCCCUUCUCUACGGAAUAGCCCUGGGAAACUGGGAGUAAUACCGUAUACGCCCUAUUGUGGAAAGAUUUAUCGGAGAAGGAUCAGCCCGCGUUGGAUUAGGUAGUUGGUGGGGUAAUGGCCUACCAAGCCGACGAUCCAUAGCUGGUUUGAGAGGAUGAUCAGCCACACUGGGACUGAGACACGGCCCAGACUCCUACGGGAGGCAGCAGUGGGGAAUCUUAGACAAUGGGGGCAACCCUGAUCUAGCCAUGCCGCGUGAGUGAUGAAGGCCUUAGGGUUGUAAAGCUCUUUCAGCUGGGAAGAUAAUGACGGUACCAGCAGAAGAAGCCCCGGCUAACUCCGUG
rnacentral:rRNA from 1 species